GAUGAACGCUGGCGGCGUGCUUAACACAUGCAAGUCGAACGAGAAAUGUAGACGGAAACCUUCGGGCGGAAGCCUUCAUUUCGAGUGGCGGACGGGUGAGUAACGCGUGGGUAACCUGCCUCAUACAGGGGGAUAACAGUUGGAAACGACUGUUAAUACCGCAUAAGACCACAGCAUCGCAUGAUGCGGGGGUAAAAACUCCGGUGGUAUGAGAUGGACCCGCGUUCGAUUAGCCAGUUGGCGGGGUAACGGCCCACCACAGCGACGAUCGAUAGCCGAUCUGAGAGGAUGACCGGCCACAGUGGGACUGAGACACGGCCCAAACUCCUACGGGAGGCAGCAGUGGAGAAUAUUGCACAAUGGGGGAAACCCUGAUGCAGCGACGCCGCGUGAGUGAAGAAGUACUUCGGUAUGUAAAGCUCUAUCAGCAGGGAAGAAAAUGACGGUACCUGAGUAAGAAGCCCCGGCUAACUACGUG
rnacentral:rRNA from 1 species